UUCGCAAUGCCCGAAAGGGUGACGAAGCGACGCCGCGUGGGUGAAGAAGGCCUUCGGGUUGUAAAGCCCUGUCAGGAGUUAUGAAAUGUAGGUGCGAUAAUACCGUGCCUAUUUGACAAAGGCUCCAAAGGAAGCCACGGCUAACUCUGUGCCAGCAGCCGCGGUAAUGCAGAGGUGGCAAGCGUUGUUCGGAAUUAUUGGGCGUAAAGAGCACGUAGGUGGGUUUGUAAGUCAGAUGUGAAAGCCUUCUGUUCAACGGAAGAAUUGCAUCUGAAACUGCGAGUCUUGAGUGUAGGAGGGGAGAAUGGAACUUCUGGUGGAGCGGUGAAAUGCGUAGAUAUCAGAAGGAACGCCGGCGGCGAAAGCGAUUCUCUGGCCUAUUACUGACACUGAGUGUGCGAAAGCUAGGGGAGCAAACGGGAUUAGAUACCCCGGUAGUCCUAGCCGUAAACGAUGGGCACUAAGUAGAGGGGUUUU
rnacentral:rRNA from 1 species